AGUGAACGCUGGCGGUAGGCCUAACACAUGCAAGUCGAACGGCAGCACAGUAAGAGCUUGCUCUUACGGGUGGCGAGUGGCGGACGGGUGAGGAAUACAUCGGAAUCUACUUUUUCGUGGGGGCUAACGUAGGGAAACUUACGCUAAUACCGCAUACGACCUACGGGUGAAAGCAGGGGAUCUUCGGACCUUGCGCGAUUGAAUGAGCCGAUGUCGGAUUAGCUAGUUGGCGGGGUAAAGGCCCACCAAGGCGACGAUCCGUAGCUGGUCUGAGAGGAUGAUCAGUCACACUGGAACUGAGACACGGUCCAGACUCCUACGGGAGGCAGCAGUGGGGAAUAUUGGACAAUGGGCGCAAGCCUGAUCCAGCCAUGCCGCGUGGGUGAAGAAGGCCUUCGGGUUGUAAAGCCCUUUUGGUUGGAAAGAAAAGCAGCAGGUUAAUACCCCGCUGUUCUGACGGUACCCAAAGAAUAAGCACCGGCUAACUUCGUG
rnacentral:rRNA from 1 species